GCCUUCUGUGGUGUAGUUGGUAGCACCUUGGCUUAGCAAUUCUAUGUCCUAGAUUCAAGUCCCAGUUAGGGUA